AGAGUUUGAUCCUGGCUCAGGAUGAACGCUGGCGGCGUGCUUAACACAUGCAAGUCGGACGAUCCUUCGGGAUAGUGGCGGACGGGUGAGUAACGCGUGGGAAUCUGCCCUCAGGAGGGGGAUAACGGCUGGAAACGGCCGCUAAUACCCCAUAUGCCGAGAGGUGAAAUGAAUUUCGCCUGAGGAUGAGCCCGCGUCUGAUUAGCUAGUUGGUGGGGUAACGGCCCACCAAGGCGACGAUCAGUAGCUGGUCUGAGAGGAUGAUCAGCCACACUGGGACUGAGACACGGCCCAGACUCCUACGGGAGGCAGCAGUGGGGAAUUUUCCGCAAUGGGCGAAAGCCUGACGGAGCAACGCCGCGUGAGGGAUGAAGGCCUUUGGGCUGUAAACCUCUUUUCUCAAGGAAGAAGAUUUGAUGGUACUUGAGGAAUAAGCCACGGUUAAUUUUGUGCCAGUAGUUGCGGUAAUAUGGGAGUGGCAAGCGUUAUCCGGAAUUAUUGGGCGUAAAGCGUCCGCAGGCGGCUUUGUAAGUCUGUUGUUAAAGUGUGGAGUUUAACUCCAUUUAAGCAAUGGAAACUACAAGGCUGGAGUGUGGUAGGGGCAGAGGGAAUUCCCGGUGUAGCGGUGAAAUGCGUAGAUAUCGGGAAGAAUAUUAGUGGCGAAGGCGCUCUGCUGGGCCAUAACUGACGCUCAUGGACGAAAGCCAGGGGAGCGAAAGGGAUUAGAUACCCCUGUAGUCCUGGCCGUAAACGAUGAACACUAGGUGUUGGGGGAAUUGACCCCCUUGGUGUUGUAGUCAACGCGUUAAGUGUUCCGCCUGGGGAGUACGCACGUAAGUGUGAAACUCAAAGGAAUUGACGGGGGCCCGCACAAGCGGUGGAGUAUGUGGUUUAAUUCGAUGCAAUGCGAAGAACCUUACCAGGGUUUGACAUCCUGCGAACCCCUGAGAAAUCGGGGGGUGCCUUCGGGAGCGCAGAGACGGGUGGUGCAUGGCUGUCGUCAGCUCGUGUCGUGAGAUGUUGGGUUAAGUCCCGCAACGAGCGCAACCCACGUCUUUAGUUGCCAGCAUUUAGUUGGGCACUCUAGAGAGACCGCCGGUGAUAAACCGGAGGAAGGUGUGGAUGACGUCAAGUCAUCAUGCCCCUUACAUCCUGGGCUACACACGUACUACAAUGCUACGGACAAAGGGCAGCAAGCUCGUGAGAGUUAGCAAAUCCCAUAAACCGUGGCUCAGUUCAGAUCGUAGGCUGCAAUUCGCCUACGUGAAGGAGGAAUCGCUAGUAAUCGCAGGG
rnacentral:rRNA from 1 species